UUUUCGUCUGAAGAAAAGAGGAUGAGGACCUCCGAAGGAGGUUUGAGCCGAGCGUAGCGAGACAACGUUGCUUCAGCAACGGCCCGAAGGGCGCUGCUCGCAGAGCAGAGUCAUCCUCUCUCUCGCCGACCA
rnacentral:sRNA from 1 species